AUGGGUCCCAGCCUUCUGCUGUGUGUGGCCCUUUGUCUCCUGGGAGCAGGUCGCCUGGAUGCCUCAGUCACCCAGACCCCAAGAUUCCAGGUGGCCAAGGCAGGCCAAAAUGUGACCCUGAACUGUACUCAGAAUCGGAAUCAUGAAGUCAUGUACUGGUACCAGCAGAAGCCGGGGCAGGCGCCAGUGCUGCUGCUCUAUCUUUACAACAAGGAUGAAAGAAAGGAGAAAGACAUCGCCAAAAACUUCAAGGGCACCCGGCAUAGCACGUCUCUUUGUUCUCUUGCCAUCCAGCGGGCAGGCUUGGAGGACUCAGCCCUGUAUCUCUGUGCCAGCAGCAGAGCCCACUCAGGUGCUGGAGUGACCCAGACCCCCAGGUACCGGGUUGCACAGACUGGACAGAAUAUCAACUUCACAGAGCUGCGGGACUCGGCCGUGUACCUCUGCGCCAGCAGCUUAGACACAGUGUGGCCCCGCCACUGCUUUCCUGCUCACAAACCUCAGAAGUGCCCUCCUAGCACCCAGAGGCCCUGA